AUAAUUUGAGUCAAUUGGAGGUGUACCUGUGAAUGUAUUUCAAGGCCUACCUUCAAACUCAGUGCCUCUUUGCUUGACAUCAUGGGAAAAUUUAAAGAAAUCAGCCAAGACCUCUGAUGUGGAGCCCUCAUGACUGAUCAAGCAUUAGUAUGAAGAACCAAACAUUGUGGAUGAGGACAAACAGGAUCGGGAGGAGGAAAGCGUUAAAGUGGCGUGAUAUUGCCUGAGCAUCAGCAUAACUGAACACAGACAGCAAGAUGUUCAUCAGCAAAGAAAGAGGGUCAGGAAUGGGAGUGGUAUGAGAUCCUCACCUUGUGGCGAGAAGAAGAAUGGUCACAGAAGGACAGACAAGUAGUUUACCAUCAAGGUUGGAGUUGGAGUUAUGUAUGUUAACUUGUUUGUUUCUCAUGCCUUCAACAAAUACUACUCUGAUAAACCGCAUCAAUUCAAAUGAAAUAAUGAAUGAUGAUCAGCAAAAUGUCAAUGGUUCCACAGUGCUCUCCUGGUCUCACAAUCCUAGUGUCAAUACAAGCUAGCUUUAUUAAAUAAAAAUUCUGUUUGUUUCUCAAUAAUGAUGAUUAUGGUGGUUCACUUCUGAACAAUGUUCCAUUUCCUCUUGCAACAUAACUAGCUGCAGCUUUGACUCAGCCAUGAGACAAAUGGAAACUAGGCACCACCGCACAGAGCUGUCAAUUUUAUGAAACCAGAACAUAUGUUUGGCAUGAGUUAAAUAGUGCAAUGAGUAAUAAUGCAGUCAUUUACAUAUCCCAUAAGUGUCUUCCUCUUAUCUAUCAUUGGAGGACACUCCUUCAAGCGAAACAGGUUUUAGUUGGAAGAAGACUUUUUCAAAAGCUCCCAGACAUAGCAUAUACAGCCUUAUUUGACUCUGGAAUAGGACAAUGAACAACAUUUGGCACAGUAAGUAACUUACUCAAGGAUUCAUGUCAACAAGACUUUAAGUUUGGAUUAGAGAACCACCCCAAGACCCAGAGUGAGGAACAGCAUGAGAAGAAUCAAGAUGCUGGCCCCUCUGAGAGUCAGAAUCAUAACAAUUGCCAUCCUCACCAACCUCUAACGAUGCCACAACAAUGUAAAGAAGACCAAUCUGGCACCAAGACAGAGGUGUAUUAUGAAAAACAUUUUCUUCCUUGGAAAUGGAACAUUACAGCCUUGUCUACUUUUUUUAUUUUUGGAAUUCAGAACAACCACGUGGAAUCAACUGUGCCUGUAAAUAGCACGGUGGUCCCGUUUCAGGCUGGGGUGGCGGGUGUGGAUAUACAUCCUCGUCUAGGCUUCAUCUCAAUAGGAUCAUCUCCAGACUGUGUUCAGGCAGCUCUACCUCAUACCGAUGGCUCUUCCUCACAGCAUUCACCUCAACACCAGCUUCUUCAAUGAUGCAGUCAUAACAUCAGGUAUGAAAAGCUCCAGUAGCCUUGGAAGAAGAGAGAAAGUGAAGGAAGAGGCUGCUUUUGAAAACUUUUCUGCUGCUUUUAAGAUGUGUGUGUGUGUGUGUGUGUGUGUGGUAGCUAGGAAAUGUAUGUUUUUGUAUUUAAGUAAAUAUUUGCUAUUACUUAUGCAGUGAGAUGGCCUUUUCAUGUUCCAGUCAAAAUCAUAACACCAAGAGUGCUUUGGUGAUUCCACUCUGAUUGCAGAUCAUAUUUUUUUCUGAUAGAUUAGUUAGCCUUCAAAAUUCUUUACAUAUGAGCAUGAACUAGCCAUAAUAUUAUCGCCUUGAUCACACUGACAGCAUCAUUGUGCAUUGUCUAGAUAUGUGUGCAACAAAAGUUCACCUUCUGCUACCAUUUUUGUCAAGCCGUCUACACAUACAGUUUGACUCAUACGUACGUAUGCACCACACAGAACGCACUGCAACUGCCUCUGCAACGCAAUGCUGUAAGUCAAAUACAACAUUCCAUUGGAAAUGAAUGUACUUCUGGUGUACUAAAACGCAAUGAAGCUGUUGGUGUGACUGAGGCAUUUUAAGUUGGAUUUAUCGAAGAUAUGCGUCAAACUGUAUGCAUAGAGGGCUUGACAGAAAGGGUAGCAGAAGGUGAAUGUUGAAGUUUUGUAGCACACAUUUCAAGAUGAUGCUGCGUACCAUUUUGCUCAAUAACACUGCAGGUGUGAUCAAGGCAUUAUCCAUCGAACUAGCUUACUGCUCAGCUCGUCUCACUACUUUAGCUAAUUAACAUAGAUACAUAGCUAGCUAAUGUUAGCUAACUGGGUCAAUCUUACAAUUUUCUGUCCCCAGGAAAUAUCAGUUCUUAUUUACUGUAAAAUGUGGAUUCCAAAAAGGCAUUAAAUAUAAGGUCAUGUGUCCUUUACCUUAAAAACACCAAAAUGUGGAUCCUGAAAGGGAUUUUUUUUUAAAACACUUUUUAAACACUUUUUGUCAGUGGAUGUAGGUGUUGUUUGGAAUGUCCUCAGGUGUUAUUUAUCAACCACGACAAGAAAUAUAAGCCAUAAAAUAAUAGAAUCUUUAAAAUCUUUCUUCACUAUUUCAUAGUCCUAGUUAAAGUAUUUUGUUUUACUUUAGAAGGUGCCUAAUUCUGCUUAAUGGACCCUGUAUCAUCUGAUGUGUCUCCAGUAUGAUUAUGUAUACACAUGGUUUUAUCAAGGCUUCAUGCCCAAAAUGCAGUAAGCUCCACUGAAAAAUGGAGGGUGGUACAUCUAGGCAUAGUAGUAACGAAUUCUAUGAGACUCUGCAUUACUAUAAAUUAUAAAGGUACCUGUAUCCGGCUGUUAAGGGAGCUCCAAAUUACGUAAGGCCUGGCCGUUUGUUUGUUCUUGCACAUUGUUUUACCAAACACACAUCUGCAUACACACACACCACCCGUCUAUACAAAAAUAUUUGUUUGUAGUGUUAAAACCGUGUCUGGUUUAUUGUGUGAGUGUUUCUACUUUGUUUUAGUAGGUUCUUCACAGGUUAAAAAGGAUGUACCUUAAAAUAUCUAUUGUCUGAAUUUUGAAUGAACACAUGUAAGUUCUCCUGAUGAGAAAUGCACUGAAGAACCCAAUGUAAACCUGCUAAAGAGAAUCUUUGAAAUGUUUUACAAUAAUGAGUCUGAAGUAAAGGGAAAGAAAAGUUAAAGAACAGACUCAAAGAACAGGUUUUGAAUGACCUCUGUUCUGACUUUCUGAUCUGUUCACCCUCGCUAGAAAGAUCAGGGACAUUGGUUGAAAUUUACAUUUACAUUUACAUUUAAGUCAUUUAGCAGACGCUCUUAUCCAGAGCGACUUACAAAUUUCUCCUGCACAAAUAAUCUUUCAGGAAAAACUGAACAUUUGCUAUCUAACUGAGAGUCUCCUCAUUGAAAACAUUCGAAGUUCUUCAAAGGUAAAUUAUUUUAUUUUAAUGCUUUUCUGGUUUUUGUGAAAAUGUUGCCUGCUGAAUGCUAACUCUAAAUGCUAAUGCUAGCUAUCAAUAUCUAUCAAUACGAUUACACAAAUGCUAGUUUUGCAAUGGUUGAGAAGCAUAUUUUUGAAAAUCUGAGAUGACAGUGUUGUUAACAAAAGGCUAAGCUUGAGAGCUAGCAUAUUGAUUUCAUUUCGAAUAGUUAACGCUGCGUUAUGGUAAUGAGCUUGAGGCUGUAGUCACGAUCCCGGAUCCGGGAUCCAAGAAGUUAAGUGUCAGUUGUGUCCCUCCUGUCUGGUCUCAGUGUUAUUAAUGUCUGCUUCCUGUUCCUGCCCUGUCUGAUAGCACAGGAGAGAGCGAGGGACCGCUGUCUCUAGUCUAUUUGACUAUUCCUUGAAUUCCUGAAUUAUAUCAAAGUAUUCCCUUAUGAGUUAUCAAGGGUUGUAAUUCAAAUGUUAUUUGUUGUUCAGAUUUGUUUAUUUUUAUUUAACCGGCACUGUUGUGUUACCUUGGAUGCAUGAAUCACAGUGUGGCUUGAAGCCUUCCCCACAUUAAAUAAGGAAGCAAAGACUGUGGCUUAAUGCCUGCUACAUGAUAUUGUUCCACGAUUCAGUAUACCACAAAGUCUAGAUGGCAAUAAGGGGACACAUUUCAACUCAAAGAUAAUAAAUGAACUGUGUGACAUUGUCACGUCUGCUCCUGCUCCUCCCCCCCGGGUUACGACGGCGCCAGAGUUCUAACCACCGGUCCUGAGAUUCAUCAUUACGCACACCUGGACUCCAUUACCUUCAUCAUAUUCCUCCCCUUUGCAUGUCACUCUCCCAUGUUUACUCACCAGUUGGUAUUGUUCUUGUGUAUCGGCGUAGUGCCUUAUGUUAGUGUCGUGUUCUUGGUUUUGUUGUUUUAUUAAAACGUUUCACCUGCACCUGC